rnacentral:rRNA from 1 species
AAACAUGUCUUUUUGAAUUUAAAUAUAAAGUCUAAUCUGCCCACUGAUAAAUUAUUUAAUGGCCGCAGUAUUUUAACUGUGCAAAGGUAGCAUAAUAAUUAGUUUUUUAAUUGAAGGCUUGUAUGAAUGAUUGGACGAGAUAUAAACUGUCUCAUAAAAAUUUUUUUAGAAUUUAAUUUUUUAGUUAAAAAGCUAAAAUAAAUUUAAAAGACGAGAAGACCCCAUAGAUCUUUAUAUUUUUUUUUAUUAUUAUUUUUUAGUUUUUUUAUAAAUUAAUAAAUAAAAAUAUUUUGUUGGGGUGACAUUGAAAUUUAAUAAACUUUCAAAAUUUAAUAACAUUAAUUUAUGAAUUUAUGAUCCUUUAUUAUUGAUUAAAAAUUUAAGUUACCUUGGGGAUAACAGCGUAAUUAUUUUGGAGAGUUCAUAUUGAUAAAAUAGAUUGCGACCUCGAUGUUGGAUUAAGAUUAAUUUUGGAUGCAGCAGUUCAAAUUAUUAAGUCUGUUCGACUUUUAAUUUCUUACGUGAUCU